rnacentral:rRNA from 1 species
GACGAACGCUGGCGGCGUGCUUAACACAUGCAAGUCGAACGGAAAGGCCCUGCUUUUGUUGGGUGCUCGAGUGGCGAACGGGUGAGUAACACGUGAGUAACCUGCCCUUGACUUUGGGAUAACUUCAGGAAACUGGGGCUAAUACCGGAUAGGAGCUCCUGCUGCAUGGUGGGGGUUGGAAAGUUUCGGCGGUUGGGGAUGGACUCGCGGGUUAUCAGCUUGUUGGUGGGGUAGUGGCUUACCAAGGCUUUGACGGGUAGCCGGCCUGAGAGGGUGACCGGCCACAUUGGGACUGAGAUACGGCCCAGACUCCUACGGGAGGCAGCAGUGGGGAAUAUUGCACAAUGGGCGGAAGCCUGAUGCAGCAACGCCGCGUGCGGGAUGACGGCCUUCGGGUUGUAAACCGCUUUCGCCUGUGACGAAGCGUGAGUGACGGUAAUGGGUAAAGAAGCACCGGCUAACUACGUG